rnacentral:rRNA from 1 species
GACGAACGCUGGCGGCGUGCUUAACACAUGCAAGUCGAACGGAAAGGCCCUGCUUGCAGGGUACUCGAGUGGCGAACGGGUGAGUAACACGUGGGUGAUCUGCCCUGCACUUCGGGAUAAGCCUGGGAAACUGGGUCUAAUACCGGAUAGGAGCCAUUUUUAGUGUGUUGGUUGGACAGUUUUUUCGGUGUAGGAUGAGCUCGCUGCCUAUCAGCUUGUUGGUGGGGUAAUGGCCUACCAAGGCGGCGACGGGUAGCCGGCCUGAGAGGGUGGACGGCCAGAUUGGGGCUGAGAAACGGCCCAGACUCCUACGGGAAGCAGCAGUAGGGAAUGUUGCACAAUGGGCGCAAGCCUGAUGCAGCGACGCCACGGAGGGGAAGACGGCCUUCGGGUUGAAAACUCCUUUCGCUAGGGACGAAACUUUUUGUGACGGUACCUAGAUAAGAAGCACCGGCUAACUACGUG